UACGAAGGGUGCAAGCGUUGUUCGGAAUUACUGGGCGUAAAGCGCACGUAGGCGGAUUUGUAAGUCAGGGGUGAAAUCCCGGGGCUCAACCUCGGAACUGCCUUUGAUACUGCAAAUCUCGAGUCCGGAAGAGGUGAGUGGAAUUCCUAGUGUAGAGGUGAAAUUCGUAGAUAUUAGGAAGAACACCAGUGGCGAAGGCGGCUCACUGGUCCGGUACUGACGCUGAGGUGCGAAAGCGUGGGGGAGCAAACAGG
rnacentral:rRNA from 1 species